rnacentral:rRNA from 1 species
AUUGAACGCUGGCGGCAGGCCUAACACAUGCAAGUCGAACGAGUGGCGGACGGGUGAGUAAUGUCUGGGAAACUGCCUGAUGGAGGGGGAUAACUACGGGAAACGGUAGCUAAUACCGCAUACCAUCGGAUGUGCCCAGAUGGGAUUAGCUAGAAGGUGGGGUAAAGGCUCACCAAGGCGACGAUCCCUAGCUGGUCUGAGAGGAUGACCUGCCCCACUGGAAAUGUGACACUGUCCAGACUCCUACGGUAGGGAGCAGUGGGGAAUAUUGCACUAUGGGCGCAGGCCUGACGCAGCCAUGCCGCGUGUAUGAAGAAGGACUUCGGUUUGUAAAGUACUUUCAGUUGGGAGGCGUAACCCGGAGAAGAAGCACCGGCUAACGCCGUGCCAGCAGCCGCGGUAAUAC